GGCACGCGCGGGCUACCGGGGCGGAGGCGUACGGGGGCGGCGAGCGGGGCUCGGCUCCUCCUCGUCCCGCGCCAGCGCCGCGCCCGGCCGCAUUCUCGGGGCCCGAGGCUCAGCCGCUCGCGGUGGAGAAAGCAGGCCGCGGAGGAGGCGGGCGCCCAGGCCUGCCCGGACAGGAAGUGGGCCCAGCUUUCCCACUCCUCGCUCCGCUCCUUCCUCCGCGGGAAGGGCAGGCCCCGGAGGCAGCGAGCGCCCCGGGGGUGGCCGGGCAGCCGGAUGCUCCCGGGGUUGCGGGCUGUGGCCCCGGGGGCUGAGGGCGGCGCGGGUGCGGCGGAAGCAGGGAAGCCGCGAACCGGCCUUCUGGCUGGCCACAGCGCCCUGCACGGACGAUCAGUGAAUGGAGAUUACUCAAGUAUUUAUCGAGAACUUGCAGUGGGCUAGGCACAGUUCAGUUGAACCUUCGUCUUGUGAGGAACAGAAAGAUCAAGAACUCUGAAGCACCUCGACUUUCCACCUGUGAAGAUGUGUUCAAAUUUGCAACGUGCGGCCACACCUAUGAGGCAGGAGUGCAGUGGCGAGAUCUGGACUCACUGCAACCUCUGCCUCCUGGCUUCAAGCAAUUCUCAUGCUUCAGCCUGUAGCUGGAACUACAGGUCACUCCCUCUGGAGGAAACCAGCUGCCACUUUGUGAGGAUACUCAUAGUCCUGUGGAGGCAUAUCCUCCAUAUGGCUGAGACCUCCUGCGAACAACCAUCACUGACUUGCCAGACAUGAGUGUGCCACCUUGGAAGCAGAUUUUCCAGCCCCAGUUAAGCCUUCAGAUGACAUCAGCCCCUGCUAAUCUCUUGACUACAACCUCAUGAGAGACCCUGAGCCAGAACUAGCCAGGCUUACCCCUCAUGGUUACAAAGUGGCUGCAACAGCUCCAGGUGUUCUAUCCUUUAACACAGAAUAACUCAAACAACAAGACCCAAUAUUCAGACAAGAAGGAAAGGGACUUUUGGAGAGUGAAGAAAACUUUCCUAGAAACCUCAAACUUCUCCCCAUGCCUUAUUGGCCAGAUUGUAUCCCAUGCCCAUUUCUAAACCAAUCAUUGGCAAAGUGAGUGGAAUUGACGUGAUUAGAUUAACUUUACCAAGAAUGCAUCCUCAGAGAGGCUGAGAAAAAGUCCAGCCUCCUUUGAAGAGCCUGGCUACCUUUCACCUGAACAAAACAAGAAUUCUGAUGAAAAAUGGAGAAUGUAUGUGGAGCAGGCACCCGGAGUGUCUAUGCCAGGAUUUUUUUUCAGUGCGUUUCACCGGUUAUAUUUUUGUCUCUUUACCUUACAAGAUAUGUGGCACGUUUGCCUAAAACAAGCCUUGCUUUCUGAUUUCUGUGCACUAGGCACUUAAACCUUGCAAAUGUCGCUUACCUAACAGUCACUGUCAAGGAGUACCUGGCUAAAGAAUCUCCAGCUAGACAAAGUAGAAGUGUCUGUGCUCUGGCAGUUGAAUAUAUUGUAUCAGGCUCAACAGCACCUUUCACCAAAGGAUGAGACUUCACAACCAUUAGAUCUUCUUUUAUUUUGUUUUUAUUAAAAAAAAAAAUUUUAACACACCAUUGCUAACUUGAAGCCAUUAGAUCUUCUUACCCCCAAUACCACAAAAGUUUAGUGGAAUCAGGGGUAUACCAAGGCAGGUGGAGUAGGGGAGCUGGGAGUGGUCAGCCCCCAGGGCAGGCAAUGAGGGAUUGUGAAUCUGUGAAGAAUUUUAAAGCAAUGAUACAGCUCUAAAUGCAAUGUACUAUCCUGGACUUAGCCCUGGAAAAGAAAAAAGAUAUUAGUGGAAAAACUGGUAAAAUUCAAAUAAUGUCUGUAGUUUGGUUAAUAGUAUUAUACCAAUGUUAAUUUCUGUGUUUUGAUAAAUGUACCAUGGUUAUGUAAGCUGGAUGAAAGAUAUGUGGGAAAUCUCUCUACUAUUUCUGCAACUCUCCUGUAAACCUAAAAAUGUUUCAAAAUAAAAGAUUUAAUGCUAAAAUUG
rnacentral:lncRNA from 1 species